ensembl:lncRNA
CUUUCACAGAAAUAGUGUGAAAAACUGAAAUCAUGUUGAAGGGUAAGAGAACAUGACACUCCGAGCAGAGUUUUGUGGUCAGCAACAGGCCGAUACUAAAUCUAACAGGAUUGUUCCAGACAGAGACGUUGUUCGUGGUGGAAAUCCAUGUGCGUGUCUUUUUGUAGCAUAGGGGGCGGGACACUUCGGAUUCUAGCAAGCAUUUGAUUGGACCGAAAAUCUGACGAGAAGCUGAAGUGCAGGAUGAUGUCAUCAGAACCGCUGAUCCAUAUUGCCAGAAGUGAGAGACUAUGGUGAGAUUGCAUCUUUUCAGACAGCGCUGGCCAGAUGUACCCAUGCGAUUAUGUGGUUUUUCACGUCAACUCAGCUCCUCAAAGAGAUCAGUCAUGGUUGUCUUUCAUCAGUCUGUUGAAGUUAUGUCAAAAAUGCGUGGGACGAGUUCGCCACCCAUUAGCGCCCUCAAAAACACACACGGCCGC